rnacentral:lncRNA from 1 species
ACAAUGUAAGUAUUUCACCUGAUAGUCUGCUAUCCUCUUUGGGGAGAUUGGCAAUUUCAAUGUUAAUCCUGCCUGUCCAUACAAGUUGCUCAACCUUUCAGUAAUGUUAAGCUGUUUUACUGUUGUAAUUUUUUCUUUUGCCUGUCCAUACAAGUUGCUCUACCUAGCAGUAAUGUUAAGCUGUUUUACUGUUGUAAUUUUUCCUUUCGCCUGGUAAUCAAUCAUUUGGGUGAUUUACUGGAUAACUCUGUUGUGUUUUCUUGACAUCUACUUUGAAUUUACGAGAAAGCUUAUUCUUUUCUACCCAAAUUUUGAAAUAAAAGAAAGUGAUGUAAAAUUCAAAAUGGAGCCCUGGCUGCUGAUGCUCAUGUAUAUCUUUUUAAUCUAGUUAGUCUGUAAAUUUCUUGCAUCUUGUAAAAAUUAACUCGUAAUUCUGCAAAUAUCAUAAUGGACACAUUCGAGAAGCUUCCUCUA